rnacentral:rRNA from 1 species
UGGGGAAUUUUGGACAAUGGGCGAAAGCCUGAUCCAGCAAUGCCGCGUGUGUGAAGAAGGCCUUCGGGUUGUAAAGCACUUUUGUCCGGAAAGAAAUCCUUGGCUCUAAUACAGUCGGGGGAUGACGGUACCGGAAGAAUAAGCACCGGCUAACUACGUGCCAGCAGCCGCGGUAAUACGUAGGGUGCAAGCGUUAAUCGGAAUUACUGGGCGUAAAGCGUGCGCAGGCGGUUUGCUAAGACCGAUGUGAAAUCCCCGGGCUCAACCUGGGAACUGCAUUGGUGACUGGCAGGCUAGAGUAUGGCAGAGGGGGGUAGAAUUCCACGUGUAGCAGUGAAAUGCGUAGAGAUGUGGAGGAAUACCGAUGGCGAAGGCAGCCCCCUGGGCCAAUACUGACGCUCAUGCACGAAAGGCGUGGGGGAGCAAAACAGGAUUAGAUACCCUGGUAGUCCCACGCCCUAAACGAUGUCAACUAGUUGUGGGGAUUCAUUUCCUUAGUAACGUAGCUAACGCGUGAAGUUGACCGCCUGGGGGAGUACGGUCGCAAGAUUAAAA